rnacentral:lncRNA from 1 species
CAGCCUAUUCUACCAGAGUUGUCUAGGAGUAACGCCGCUGAAAAGAAAAUACCAGCAGACUCAAUGCCAAGUUUUCUGCCAAUUGAGUAUUAUUGCCCAAGCUGUGCGCUAUUUUGAUAUUGAACUCUUCUGCAUGAAAGCAAAUGGGGCACCCAAACAGAGGGAUUCACGAAAUUGUCGAGAAGAGGGUGAUGUGGUGACACCUACGACAUCCUUUUGCUAUUGCACAUUCCUGAACACUGUUGUUGCUGUUGCUUCUAAUGCCUAUAUUCAAAUCUUGUUGAUAUUUGCCAGGAUGGGUAAAAAUGUACAGUUAGUAUAAACCCAUGGAGGGCAUUAUUACAAAGCCAGAUAACACCACCUUAAACACUUUGCCAUCAGUUGUCAGUGCUCAAGGAGGUUACAUUCACGUCUUCAAUUUGCCAGAGCUUAGAAGGAACCCUUCCAAUGCGUUGGACUAAUGACUCUCUGCAGCAAUCAAGUUUUAGUUAGUUUUUGGCUUACGUUUUUUCUACAACCCUUGCAGCAUUUAGCUCUCUUCAGAUCAAAAGCAUGAAUGUACUCUGAGAUAGUAGGUAUUGUGGUGCUACUCUUAGAAUUACUUGAAGACUUUGGGGGUUGGUGAAUCUGUUGUCUUCCUAAGGAUCAAUUUUUCUCUAGAUCUCGGAUCCUUUAAGAACAGAAUUCGUUCUGUAGUUGAUGUCAUGGAAUACUUUGAAAUCUCAGUAAUAACUAACACAAUCUUCAAAAUAGGAAUUGCAUAUUUGGAUUCGUCUGGAACUUGCAGAACUUCCUGUGUUAGGGUUAAAGGUUUUGGGAGACCUACGGCGUGGGUUUUGAGCUUCUUGUUUGUGUCCGAUUUCUUUCUGAAACCUCCUGAUCAGAUCUCAGGUCAUGCGUGAUGAAGUUCACUGUUCUGCCGCGUCGAAUGUCAGGGUUUAAGUUUUGAUAGGGUUAGCUUUCAUGGUUUUCGUGUUGUCCAAUUGUGAGAAUGGGGUUGGAACUGUCAAAGGUGAAUUUGCUGUCACGAGCUCCAUUGCCGGAUUGCAGGUGUCAACUCCUUUGUAUUGUAACCGGAUAUUUGUUAUUUGUUUUGUUUUGCUUCUUAUUUCUUUUUUUCGCAACGGGUUUGGCAGGGUGAUGGCCCAUGAGUAGGGCACGAUGACGAGAAUCAAUGUUUGAAUGAUGCUUCAAAAGAGCGUGUUCAACGGAGAGAAGCGCGGCAAGUGCCGACUCCAUCAAACCAGUUGUAACGAAGGAGGCAGGUAGUGCAUACUUAACUUGUAACUCACCUUCUGUCGGCAUCCUUUUCGCUUUGUUGUUAUUAUCCUUCCAUGGCGAGUAGUCAUUGCGCCCACGAGAGUCUCUGUUCUUGGGUGCCUGGCGAUGCCACAUGAUACUCAACCAGCAAUGUGGAUACGUAGUUUGAAUGAGUCAUUGGCUCACACCGUAGUGGGAGCUGGUCCCAUUUCCGUUACUGUUUAAGAACGAACUAAUUUUUUCUAAAGAUUUUAUUUCAGGUUUCAAAAACUGUAAGAUCACCUGGAAAAAAGGAAAAAUCCAAGGGUCUGCAUAUUCCUGCAGGAGCUGGCACAUUUGUGUCUUACAGCGUCCCUCCUUGUAAUGAGGAAAAUUCACUGUCGCCGAAAACAAUCCAUGGCUGCUUUGGCAGCUGACCUCGCAUAUUUCUUUUGUAAGUUUCUUGCCAUAAGUUGGACUGUGCCGUACAAAUGCGUCGACAAGAAUAUUUAAUUCAACAAGUAGAUGGCUUAUCAAUGUUGUGGUUGUGAGGAGUAACUCACAAUGCUCUGUGAUAUCAAGUACUGAAGUGGACGGCAAAUAAUGUGUUCUUCGUACAAUAGUUGUUCAUGAGAGGCAUCAGUUAUGACCUCUUUAGCUGUCAAUGAAGGCAGGCGAACAAUCAACACAAGCAUAGCUUUUCCUACAGUUGAUGUAUGUGCGUUGGGUUGCAGGAGAAAAACUGAUCACUUAUCCAAGGAAGUGUUCUUUAACAGGCCCACCUAGAAUGAGAAACAGAGUCGACGUAUCCAACAACAGGACCUUGCAAGACGUGUAUCAAGCUUAUUCCCAGCUACCAUUUUCGCAGAAAUCAGUACAUACUGUGGGACGACAAAUCACUAUAGUGACAGCACUUACGACGU